GUGACUGCGUACCUUUUGUAUAAUGGGUCAGCGACUUAUAUUCUGUAGCAAGGUUAACCGAAUAGGGGAGCCGAAGGGAAACCGAGUCUUAACUGGGCGUUAAGUUGCAGGGUAUAGACCCGAAACCCGGUGAUCUAGCCAUGGGCAGGUUGAAGGUUGGGUAACACUAACUGGAGGACCGAACCGACUAAUGUUGAAAAAUUAGCGGAUGACUUGUGGCUGGGGGUGAAAGGCCAAUCAAACCGGGAGAUAGCUGGUUCUCCCCGAAAGCUAUUUAGGUAGCGCCUCGUGAAUUCAUCUCCGGGGGUAGAGCACUGUUUCGGCAAGGGGGUCAUCCCGACUUACCAACCCGAUGCAAACUGCGAAUACCGGAGAAUGUUAUCACGGGAGACACACGGCGGGUGCUAACGUCCGUCGUGAAGAGGGAAACAACCCAGACCGCCAGCUAAGGUCCCAAAGUCAUGGUUAAGUGGGAAACGAUGUGGGAAGGCCCAGACAGCCAGGAUGUUGGCUUAGAAGCAGCCAUCAUUUAAAGAAAGCGUAAUAGCUCACUGGUCGAGUCGGCCUGCGCGGAAGAUGUAACGGGGCUAAACCAUGCACCGAAGCUGCGGCAGCGACGCUUAUGCGUUGUUGGGUAGGGGAGCGUUCUGUAAGCCUGUGAAGGUGUGCUGUGAGGCAUGCUGGAGGUAUCAGAAGUGCGAAUGCUGACAUAAGUAACGAUAAAGCGGGUGAAAAGCCCGCUCGCCGGAAGACCAAGGGUUCCUGUCCAACGUUAAUCGGGGCAGGGUGAGUCGACCCCUAAGGCGAGGCCGAAAGGCGUAGUCGAUGGGAAACAGGUUAAUAUUCCUGUACUUGGUGUUACUGCGAAGGGGGGACGGAGAAGGCUAUGUUGGCCGGGCGACGGUUGUCCCGGUUUAAGCGUGUAGGCUGGUUUUCCAGGCAAAUCCGGAAAAUCAAGGCUGAGGCGUGAUGACGAGGCACUACGGUGCUGAAGCAACAAAUGCCCUGCUUCCAGGAAAAGCCUCUAAGCAUCAGGUAACAUCAAAUCGUACCCCAAACCGACACAGGUGGUCAGGUAGAGAAUACCAAGGCGCUUGAGAGAACUCGGGUGAAGGAACUAGGCAAAAUGGUGCCGUAACUUCGGGAGAAGGCACGCUGAUAUGUAGGUGAAGUCCCUCGCGGAUGGAGCUGAAAUCAGUCGAAGAUACCAGCUGGCUGCAACUGUUUAUUAAAAACACAGCACUGUGCAAACACGAAAGUGGACGUAUACGGUGUGACGCCUGCCCGGUGCCGGAAGGUUAAUUGAUGGGGUUAGCGGUAACGCGAAGCUCUUGAUCGAAGCCCCGGUAAACGGCGGCCGUAACUAUAACGGUCCUAAGGUAGCGAAAUUCCUUGUCGGGUAAGUUCCGACCUGCACGAAUGGCGUAAUGAUGGCCAGGCUGUCUCCACCCGAGACUCAGUGAAAUUGAACUCGCUGUGAAGAUGCAGUGUACCCGCGGCAAGACGGAAAGACCCCGUGAACCUUUACUAUAGCUUGACACUGAACAUUGAGCCUUGAUGUGUAGGAUAGGUGGGAGGCUUUGAAGUGUGGACGCCAGUCUGCAUGGAGCCGGCCUUGAAAUACCACCCUUUAAUGUUUGAUGUUCUAACGUUGGCCCCUGAUCGGGGUUGCGGACAGUGUCUGGUGGGUAGUUUGACUGGGGCGGUCUCCUCCUAAAGAGUAACGGAGGAGCACGAAGGUUGGCUAAUCCUGGUCGGACAUCAGGAGGUUAGUGCAAUGGCAUAAGCCAGCUUGACUGCGAGCGUGACGGCGCGAGCAGGUGCGAAAGCAGGUCAUAGUGAUCCGGUGGUUCUGAAUGGAAGGGCCAUCGCUCAACGGAUAAAAGGUACUCCGGGGAUAACAGGCUGAUACCGCCCAAGAGUUCAUAUCGACGGCGGUGUUUGGCACCUCGAUGUCGGCUCAUCACAUCCUGGGGCUGAAGUAGGUCCCAAGGGUAUGGCUGUUCGCCAUUUAAAGUGGUACGCGAGCUGGGUUUAGAACGUCGUGAGACAGUUCGGUCCCUAUCUGCCGUGGGCGCUGGAGAACUGAGGGGGGCUGCUCCUAGUACGAGAGGACCGGAGUGGACGCAUCACUGGUGUUCGGGUUGUCAUGCCAAUGGCACUGCCCGGUAGCUAAAUGCGGAAGAGAUAAGUGCUGAAAGCAUCUAAGCACGAAACUUGCCCCGAGAUGAGUUCUCCCUGACUCCUUGAGAGUCCUGAAGGAACGUUGAAGACGACGACGUUGAUAGGCCGGGUGUGUAAGCGCAGCGAUGCGUUGAGCUAACCGGUACUAAUGAACCGUGAGGCUUAACCU
rnacentral:rRNA from 1 species